AAGAUGCACCUGUAGCAGGUAGGAGCUAUGCUAUGGGCUCAAAGUUUUUACAAGAAGCUGGGGUGACCAGCACUACUGGCUCAAGUAAUUUACAGCUAGCUGGAGGCGGCAAGGUAAUGAACAUCGGGGGAGGCAGUGUGACAAACUUGACAAAUGCACAUGUGGCUAGAAGCAACAACCUCACUGUAUCAAAAAGACCACUUGAAGCCGGGGGCAGCAACUUGAUGGGAUCCAAAAAUGCACUUGCAGCAGCGAGGAGCUACGUUAUGGGCUCACAAGUUUUACAACAAGCUGGGGUGACCAGCACUACUGGCUCGAGUAAUUUACAGCUAGCUGGUGGCAGCAAGGUAAUGAACAUUGGGAGAGGCAGUGUGCCAAACUUGGCAAAUGCACAUGUGGCUGGAACCAACAACCUCACUGUCUCUAGAACUCCAAAUGUGGCUUGGGGCAGCAAGGUGAUGAACUUUGGGGGAGGCGGUACAAACUUGGCAAAUGCACAUGUAGCUGGAAGCAACAACCUCACUGUGUCUAAAACUCCAAAUGCGGCUUGGGGCAGCAAGGUGAUGAACACUGGGGGAAUUGGUACAAACUUGACAAAUGCACAUGUGGCUGGAAGCAACAACCUCACUGCGUCUAAAACUCCACAUGUGGCUGGUGGAAGCA
rnacentral:lncRNA from 1 species